rnacentral:rRNA from 1 species
CAGAGGUCCCGAGCGUUGUUCGGAUUCACUGGGCGUAAAGGGUGCGUAGGUGGUGAGGUAAGUCGGAUGUGAAAGCUCCAAGCUCAACUUGGAAAUGGCAUUGGAAACUACCUUGCUAGAGGGUUUGAGGGGGACUGGAAUACUUGGUGUAGCAGUGAAAUGCGUAGAUAUCAAGUGGAACACCAGUGGCGAAGGCGAGUCCCUGGAAAACUCCUGACACUGAGGCACGAAGGCUAGGGGAGCAAACAGGAUUAGAUACCCUGGUAGUCCUAGCCGUAAACGGUGCGUAUUUGCUGUAAAAGGAAUCGACCCCUUUUGUGGCGUAGCCAACGCGUUAAAUACGCCGCCUGGGAAGUACGGUCGCAAGAUUA